CCAGAGGAAAAGUAAUCAAACGAGAUUUUCUUAGUAGCGGCGAGCGAACGGGAAAGAGGCCAAACCGGAGCGGGCAACCGCACCGGGGUUGAGGACAGUCAUCAAGUGUAAAUGAGGUAGAAGAAUCGAGCUGGAAAGCUCAGCCGCAGAAGGUGAAAGCCCUGUAAUCGAAACCUUGCAUACACGGGACUGUAUCCAGAGUACCACGAGACACGUGAAACCUUGUGGGAAGCAGGGGGGACCACCCUCCAAGCCAAAAUACUGAUAUCGACCGAUAGCGCAUAGUACCGUGAGGGAAAGGUGAAAAGAACCCCUGGCGGGGAGUGAAAGAGAACCUGAAACCGUAUGUCUACAAACAGUCGAAGUCUGUAUAUAUAUCAGGACGACGGCGUGCCUAUUGAAGAAUGAACCGACGAGUUACUGUUGCUAGCGAGGUUAAGUGGAAAACAUGGAGCCGCAGCGAAAGCGAGUCUGAACAGGGCGUUCAGUUAGUAAUAGUAGACCCGAAACCGUAGUGAUCUAUCCAUGGCCAGGUUGAAGCACAGGUAAAAUUGUGUGGAGGACCGAACUCGUGAGCGUUGAAAAGCUUUGGGAUGAGUUGUGGAUAGGGGUGAAAUGCCAAUCGAACACGGAGAUAGCUGGUUCUCCCCGAAAUAGCUUUAGGGCUAGCCUCGAGGUAGAGAGUAUAGGCGGUAGAGCACUGAUCGGGCUAGGGGCCAUACCGGUUACCGAACCUAGUCAAACUACGAAUGGCUAUACUUAUACUCGGGAGUCAGACAGUGAAUGAUAAGGUCCAUUGUCAAGAGGGAAACAGCCCAGAACACCGACUAAGGUCCCAAAUGUUACACUAAGUGGCGAAGGAUGUGGAAUUUCCAAAACAACCAGGAUGUUGGCUUAGAAGCAGCCACCAUUUAAAGAGUGCGUAAUAGCUCACUGGUCGAGAGACUCUGCGCCGAAAAUGUCCGGGGCUAAAGUGUAAAACCGAAGUCGUGUCAUAUGCAGCAAUGUAUAUGGGUAGGGGAGCGUUCUCAUCGGGCUGAAGCAGUACCGUAAGGAGUUGUGGACUGAUGAGAAGUGAGAAUGUCGGUAUGAGUAGCGAAAAGAAUGGUGAGAAUCCAUUCCACCGAAAGCCUAAGGGUUCCUGAGCAACGAUCGUCGUCUCAGGGUAAGUCGGGACCUAAGCCGAGGCGGAAAAGCGUAGGCGAUGGACAACAGGUUGAAAUUCCUGUACCGGUGUGAAUCGUUUGAUCGAUGGAGUGACACAGUAAGGUAGGUCAGCACGCGAUUGGAAGAGCGUGUUUAAGCAGGUAGGUUGAGCUAUAGGUAAAUCCGUAGCUCUAAAAGCUGAGAUGUGAUGACGAGCGACUAGCAAUAGUCGCGAAGUGAUUGAUCCUACACUGUCGAGAAAAGCUUCUAGGUAGAGACACAUCGCCCGUACCAAAACCGACACAGGUAGGCGGGGAGAGAAUCCUAAGGUGCGCGGGAAAACCCUCGUUAAGGAACUCGGCAAAAUGCCUCCGUAACUUCGGGAAAAGGAGGACUCAUGUAGUGUGAAGAGCAGAAGCGCUUGGAGCAUGAAUGAGUGGCACAAGAGAGGCGCAAGCGACUGUUUACCACAAACACAGGUGCCUGCUAAAGCGAAAGCUGAUGUAUAGGUGCUGACGCCUGCCCGGUGCUGGAAGGUUAAGAGGAGGGGUUAGACUUCGGUCGAAGCUCUGAAUUGAAGCCCCAGUAAACGGCGGCCGUAACUAUAACGGUCCUAAGGUAGCGAAAUUCCUUGUCGGGUAAGUUCC
rnacentral:rRNA from 1 species